rnacentral:misc_RNA from 1 species
AACCAGACACAGGCUUCUAAAUCUGUCAUCAUGGAAAAAAAAAUUAAUUGUUAAUAUGACAACUUAAAACUUCCCUUCAGAUGGUAAAUGAAAUUUCAAGGGUUAAAUGCACAUCGAUGCGGUACCAACAAUUAAAUAUCCAUCCCAAGGGAAACAAAAACAGUAUGCCAUAGUUUCCCAUAUUUUAUUUCAGGCAAAAUAAAAUGCAACUCUGAAAAGCAGAUAAACUUUUCAUGUCAAUAACCAACAACUCAAGGCAUUCUAAAAAUGUUUAUAACACCUCAGAAUUGUACAAUUGUAAUAUUUCAACAGAUAAACCAUCAUUAACAUGUUUAUCCCCGCUAGUACCAGAAUGUUAU